rnacentral:rRNA from 1 species
ACACAUGCAAGUCGAGGGGUAACAUGGAGAGAAGCUUGCUUCACUCUGAUGACGACCGGCGGAUGGGUGAGUAACGCGUAUGCAACUUGCCUCUUAGUGGGGGAUAACCCGGAGAAAUCCGGACUAAUACCGCAUAUUCUUAAUUUCUCGCAUGAGUUAUUAAGGAAAGAUUUAUUGCUAAGAGAUAGGCAUGCGUUCCAUUAGUUAGUUGGUGAGGUAACGGCUCACCAAGGCAUCGAUGGAUAGGGGAGCUGAGAGGCUGAUCCCCCACAUUGGGACUGAGACACGGCCCAAACUCCUACGGGAGGCAGCAGUGAGGAAUAUUGGUCAAUGGAGGAAACUCUGAACCAGCCAAGUCGCGUGAAGGAUGACGGUCCUAUGGAUUGUAAACUUCUUUAGUAGGUGAGUAAGGAUAGGUACGUGUACCUAUUAGAAAGUAGCCUAAGAAUAAGUAUCGGCUAAC